rnacentral:rRNA from 1 species
GGGAAACUGCCUGAUGGAGGGGGAUAACUACUGGAAACGGUAGCUAAUACCGCAUGACCUCGUAAGAGCAAAGUGGGGGACCUUCGGGCCUCACGCCAUCGGAUGUGCCCAGAUGGGAUUAGCUAGUAGGUGAGGUAAUGGCUCACCUAGGCGACGAUCCCUAGCUGGUCUGAGAGGAUGACCAGCCACACUGGAACUGAGACACGGUCCAGACUCCUACGGGAGGCAGCAGUGGGGAAUAUUGCACAAUGGGCGCAAGCCUGAUGCAGCCAUGCCGCGUGUGUGAAGAAGGCCUUAGGGUUGUAAAGCACUUUCAGCGAGGAGGAAGGGUUCAGUGUUAAUAGCACUGUGCAUUGACGUUACUCGCAGAAGAAGCACCGGCUAACUCCGUGCCAGCAGCCGCGGUAAUACGGAGGGUGCAAGCGUUAAUCGGAAUUACUGGGCGUAAAGCGCACGCAGGCGGUUUGUUAAGUCAGAUGUGAAAUCCCCGAGCUUAACUUGGGAACUGCAUUUGAAACUGGCAAGCUAGAGUCUUGUAGAGGGGGGUAGAAUUCCAGGU